UGUAGCUGCGGUAGGGCAGGUGAGGUAAGUCAGUGGGUGGAGGGGUGGUGUGGAAUGAUGGGUCGGAAAGGGCGUGUAGGGUGCUGGGCAAGUCGGGUGUGAAAGCCCUCAGCUCAACUGAGGAAGGGCGCCCGAAACUGCAGAGCUUGAGUACCGGAGAGGAUGGCGGAAUUCCCCAAGUAGAGGUGAAAUUCGUAGAUAUGGGGAGGAACACCGGUGGCGAAGGCGGCCAUCUGGACGGAUACUGACGCUGAGACGCGAAAGCGUGGGGAGCAAACAGGAUUAGAUACCCGAGUAGUC
rnacentral:rRNA from 1 species